rnacentral:rRNA from 1 species
CAGUAGUUUUUUAAUUGAAAACUUGUAUGAAUGGUUGAACGAAAUAUUAGCUGUUUCAUAAAAAUAUUUAGAAAUUAACUUUUUAGUAAAAAGGCUAAAAUUGUUUUAAAAGACGAGAAGACCCUAUAGAGUUUUAUAUUUUUUUGUAUUUAAUUUAUUUAGAAUAAUUAAAUUUUUGUUUAAUAAAAUAUUUUAUUGGGGUGAUAUUAAAAUUUAAAAAACUUUUAUUAAUAAAUUACAUUUAUUUAUGAAUAAUUGAUCCAAUUUUAUUGAUUAUAAGAUUAAAUUACCUUAGGGAUAACAGCGUAAUAUUUUUUUAGAGUUCUUAUCGAUAAAAAAUUUUGC